rnacentral:tRNA from 1 species
GGCGGCAUAGCUCAGUUGGUUAGAGCACGGCAUUCAUAAGGCCGGGGUCGGGGGUUCAAAUCCCUCUGCCGCUA